rnacentral:rRNA from 1 species
AUGGUAGAGAAGAAGGGAAAUAUCUUGAUGGAGAGAUAUGAGAUGGGAAGACUGCUGGGGCAAGGGAGCUUUGCUAAAGUUUACUAUGGUCGUAGUCUCAAGACUUCACAGAGCGUUGCCAUCAAGGUGAUCGACAAAGAGAAGAUCUUCAAGUGUGGGCUUAUGGAUCAAGUAAGGCGAGAGAUAUCUGUAAUGAAGUUGGUGAAACAUCCAAACAUUGUCCAAUUGUAUGAGGUGAUGGCCACCAAAACCAAGAUAUUUUUUGUGCUAGAGUAUGUGAAGGGGGGCGAGCUGUUCAACAAGGUUCAACGAGGAAGGCUGAAAGAAGAUGUUGCUCGCAAGUACUUCCAACAGCUCAAUAGUGCGGUUGACUUCUGUCACAGCCGAGGCGUCUAUCACCGUGACCUGAAGCCUGAAAAUCUUCUUCUUGAUGAGAACCGCAAUUUAAAGAUCUCUGACUUUGGUCUGAGUGCACUUGCAGAAUGCAAGAGACAAGAUGGGCUGAUUCACACAACUUGUGGUACCCCUGCAUAUGUUGCUCCGGAACUGAUUAGUAAGAAAGGAUAUGAUGGUGCAAAAGCUGACAUCUGGGCUUGUGGAGUCAUCUUGUAUGUAUUGUUGGCUGGUUAUCUCCCUUUUCAGGACAAGAAUUUGAUGGACAUGUAUAAGAAGAUUUACAAAGCAGAACUCAAAUGGCCAAGCUGGUUUUCUUCAGAUGCCCGGAGGCUUCUGAGGCGUAUUCUUGAUCCGAACCCCGGUACACGGAUCUCCUUUUCAGAGAUCUUGGACAAUUCUUGGUUCCGGACAGGCCUUGACAAGGGACUGAUUAGCUAUAACACACCAACGGAGGGCAUUGUUGCUGUUGACAUGGAUCCGACUUGUGAUCCAUUCAGUAGCUGUACAACCGAGACAAUACAAGAAGCAACAGAGCUCACUAACUUGAAUGCUUUUGACAUCAUUUCUCUUUCUUCUGGGUUUGAUCUCUCUGGCAUGUUUGAGGAUAAGUCCAACAAAGAGUCCAAAUUCACAUCUACCAACACAGCUGCAACAAUCAUCACAAAGCUUGAAGAUAUUGCAAAGCGCUUGCGGCUAAGACUCAUGAAGAGAGACGGUGGGUUGUUGAAGAUGCAGAGCUUGCAACCGGGAAGGAAAGGCGUAAUGUCCAUAGAUACCGAGAUAUUUCAGAUUGCACCAAAUUUUCAUCUGGUGGAAAUCAGGAAGACCAAUGGUGAUACUCUCGAGUAUCAGAAGGUUAAACAUGAUAUGAGACCGGCUUUGAAAGACAUUGUUUGGGCUUGGCAAGGUGAGCAGCCCUAG